rnacentral:tRNA from 1 species
GCCUUCCCGUGGCUCAAUUGGUAGAACAUUGCGCUAACAACACAAAGGUCUGGGGUUCAAAUCCCAAGGAAAGCA